rnacentral:rRNA from 1 species
CUGGCGGCAGGCCUAACACAUGCAAGUCGAACGGUAACAGAAAGCAGCUUGCUGCUUUGCUGACGAGUGGCGGACGGGUGAGUAAUGUCUGGGAAACUGCCUGAUGGAGGGGGAUAACUACUGGAAACGGUAGCUAAUACCGCAUAACGUCGCAAGACCAAAGAGGGGGACCUUCGGGCCUCUUGCCAUCGGAUGUGCCCAGAUGGGAUUAGCUAGUAGGUGGGGUAAAGGCUCACCUAGGCGACGAUCCCUAGCUGGUCUGAGAGGAUGACCAGCCACACUGGAACUGAGACACGGUCCAGACUCCUACGGGAGGCAGCAGUGGGGAAUAUUGCACAAUGGGCGCAAGCCUGAUGCAGCCAUGCCGCGUGUAUGAAGAAGGCCUUCGGGUUGUAAAGUACUUUCAGCGGGGAGGAAGGGAGUAAAGUUAAUACCUUUGCUCAUUGACGUUACCCGCAGAAGAAGCACCGGCUAACUCCGUGCCAGCAGCCGCGGUAAUACGGAGGGUGCAAGCGUUAAUCGGAAUUACUGGGCGUAAAGCGCACGCAGGCGGUUUGUUAAGUCAGAUGUGAAAUCCCCGGGCUCAACCUGGGAACUGCAUCUGAUACUGGCAAGCUUGAGUCUCGUAGAGGGGGGUAGAAUUCCAGGUGUAGCGGUGAAAUGCGUAGAGAUCUGGAGGAAUACCGGUGGCGAAGGCGGCCCCCUGGACGAAGACUGACGCUCAGGUGCGAAAGCGUGGGGAGCAAACAGGAUUAGAUACCCUGAUAGUCCACGCCGUAAACGAUGUCGACUUGGAGGUUGUGCCCUUGAGGCGUGGCUUCCGGAGCUAACGCGUUAAGUCGACCGCCUGGGGAGUACGGCCGCAAGGUUAAAACUCAAAUGAAUUGACGGGGGCCCGCACAAGCGGUGGAGCAUGUGGUUUAAUUCGAUGCAACGCGAAGAACCUUACCUGGUCUUGACAUCCACGGAAGUUUUCAGAGAUGAGAAUGUGCCUUCGGGAACCGUGAGACAGGUGCUGCAUGGCUGUCGUCAGCUCGUGUUGUGAAAUGUUGGGUUAAGUCCCGCAACGAGCGCAACCCUUAUCCUUUGUUGCCAGCGGUCCGGCCGGGAACUCAGAGGAGACUGCCAGUGAUAAACUGGAGGAAGGUGGGGAUGACGUCAAGUCAUCAUGGCCCUUACGACCAGGGCUACACACGUGCUACAAUGGCGCAUACAAAGAGAAGCGACCUCGCGAGAGCAAGCGGACCUCAUAAAGUGCGUCGUAGUCCGGAUUGGAGUCUGCAACUCGACUCCAUGAAGUCGGAAUCGCUAGUAAUCGUGGAUCAGAAUGCCACGGUGAAUACGUUCCCGGGCCUUGUACACACCGCCCGUCACACCAUGGGAGUGGGUUGCAAAAGAAGUAGGUAGCUUAACCUUCGGGAGGGCGCUUACCACUUUGUGAUUCAUGACUGGGGUGAAG